UUACCUUCUUCUCUAAUUGGUUUCUCAUGUUAUCAUUGUUUUUCUUCACAGUGGCAAACAAAGACAAUGAUAAUGGCCGUUUGUUGCUACCAAUUCUAUUCACAGCUGGCAAUUUUUAGUUAUUAAGUUGUCUUAUUUGCUCUUGGACUUUUGUAAUUUUUUUGAGAGCAAUGCAGGGGAUUCAUGUCGAGGUCGCAUUGGUUGUUCUAUGCGCCCUGGGUUGCCUGUGGUGCUUGCUGUUCAGGCUCGAAAUUAUGUUGUCUCUCAUAUUUGCUCUCAGGAGAGAUGCAAAGCCUUGGAUUUCAACCAUCAACCCAUACAUAAUCAUAUGAUGCAUUUAUUAGAGUGGUUCACUUAAAAGGUCCGAAUGAUGGCAUUAAACUGCAAACUGGUAUACCUCAAAAUAGUGCAAGCAAAGGAAAGUAGACUAUUGGACUCGGACAAGAUUGCAUCACAUUUUGUCCACAGAUGGAAGACAUCAUCUCAAUGAGGUUCAUAUUCCGUAUUCACUUCUUACAGUAUCUGAUUGUCUUAUAGCAAAAAUAUUACUUUUGUUAGCAACUUAUGACUCUUCAUCUUAAUAAGAUCGUACUUAUAAAACAUACUCUUAGUACCCAAUGUUGGAUUUCGCACACUUGCUUUGAUGGUGGGGCUUUCAAUUGGUAUCAUUUAUUAUGAAUUUUUAUAGAUUGGCUAAUGAUUCUAAUAUUGUAAGAAUAAGGUAACCAAUUAUCCUUCAUCCAGCACUACCAUUUCCACACACAAUCACAGGAUGCAAAAAGGGGAACUGACCAUGGACCUCUGCCAAGCAAAAGCCAAAUGCUAUGGUAUGUUUGUUUUCCAAGUUUUUUUUU